rnacentral:tRNA from 1 species
GGCUUUAUAGUCAAUUAUGAUUCUAGACUGCAAUUCUGGCGGUGUAAAGUUCUUACUAAGGCCU